UACGUAGGGCGCAAGCGUUGUCCGGAAUUAUUGGGCGUAAAGAGCUCGUAGGCGGCCUGUUGCGUCCGCUGUGAAAUCCCGGGGCUUAACCCCGGGCUUGCAGUGGAUACGGGCAGGCUGGAGGCAGGCAGGGGAGAACGGAAUUCCCGGUGUAGCGGUGAAAUGCGCAGAUAUCGGGAGGAACACCAGAGGCGAAGGCGGCGACCUGGACGGGCACUGACACUCAACUACGAAAGCGUGGGGAGCAAACAGG
rnacentral:rRNA from 1 species